AGGGGGCGGGGCGUCCGGGGCGUCCGGGGCGUCAGGGCGUCCGCGUUGGGGCCCCCUGGGGCUCGCCAGGUGCAGCUCCUUUGCCUGCUCACCGCCAGGAACCCACGUCACCUGCCUCAGAUUUGAUUAAGAAAAGGAUGCUGUGGACAUUAGCUGACUUGCACAAACAGUGGAACUUGAACAACAGCACAGAGCAGGAUGUCGGAUGUGGCUUCUGUAACUAAGGAAAACAAUUGACGGCAGGGUUCAUCCUCAAGACCUUCUGUUCAUCGGCACAGGAAACAAGACGUGAGCUGUGUACAGUGGCUGGCCCAAGCUGCAGGAGUAAUGGAAGCUUCGUUUGCUCAGCCUGCCAGAGGACCCCAUGGCUGAGGCAGCUAACACAGGGUGCCUUGGAGCCAUCCCGGGGUGCCCACACCAGUGGCCGACUGGCAUGAAAGGCCCACAUUUCCAGGACUUCUGAAAUGGGAGACCUUAUAUUGCCUGAAACAAAAACGAUUCCACCCAUGCAUUGACUCUUCCCUGGCUGUUUUGCAAGACAUAGAUCGUUUCCAGAUGUUUGGCUUACAUUUGCCAAGUAGGUGCUCAGUUCAAAGUGCCUGUGGCAUUGCACAUCAGUAGCCAUCCGGGCGAUACUCAGAGAGGCAUUAAAACUGGACGUGUCAUAGAGAUCUAACUAAUAAUGGU